rnacentral:rRNA from 1 species
GAGUUUGAUCCUGGCUCAGGACGAACGCUGGCGGCGUGCUUAACACAUGCAAGUCGAACGAGGUCCAACCAGUGGCAACACUGGGGCAGACCUAGUGGCGAACGGGUGAGUAACACGUGAGAAACCUGCCCCGGAGUCCGGAAUAACCCUCCGAAAGGAGAGCUAAUACCGGAUACCCCCACCGCAUCGCAUGGUGUGGUGAGGAAAGGAUCCCGCUUCGGGAGGGUCUCGCGGCCUAUCAGCUUGUUGGUGGGGUAACGGCCUACCAAGGCGUCGACGGGUAGCUGGUCUGAGAGGACGAUCAGCCACACUGGGACUGAGACACGGCCCAGACUCCUACGGGAGGCAGCAGUGGGGAAUCUUGCGCAAUGGGCGAAAGCCUGACSCAGCAACGCCGCGUGGGGGAUGAAGGCUCUCGGGUUGUAAACCCCUUUCAGCAGGGACGAUAAUGACGGUACCUGCAGAAGAAGCCCCGGCCAACUACGUGCCAGCAGCCGCGGUAAUAC